GUCUACGGCCAUACCACCCUGAACGCGCCCGAUCUCGUCUGAUCUCGGAAGCUAAGCAGGGUCGGGCCUGGUUAGUACUUGGAUGGGAGAAUAUUCAAAAUUUAGGAAAUUCCACCCAAAAACCUGGAUUUCUACUUU
rnacentral:rRNA from 1 species